rnacentral:lncRNA from 1 species
NNNCAUCCGCCCCAAAGCUGCCGGGCACCCCGGAGCGGGAGGCGGAUGCCGCAGCCCCGCAGCAUCGACGCCUUUGAGGCCACGCGGCGUCCUCCAGCCUCCUCCCACCCCAAAUGUGCUGCGGCACCUCGGGCGGCUCCGUCCCGGCUGCCUCAUAGCGGGGGCCACGGUGUGCCCCCGGGGGUGGGGGGGAGCGAGCGGCUGCGGCGUGCGGCACGCGGGAGCACGUGCACGGCGGGCACCGGCGGCCUCGUGGCUGUAGGGAGCGCGUGGCAGCUCGGGGACGUUUGGGAGGGGGCGAUGCGGGAGGGGUUUGGUGGCGGUGGGACCGUCACCCUUGCACGGUCCUUGGCUUUGGGCAGGGUGACAGCUCGGUCACCUUCAGCUGAGCACUGUGCCAAGGGGGAGGGAGCCGUGCACAUCAGCCAGCGGGGAGCAGCACCCAUGGGUGCUUGCAGGCUGGCACGUAAGCACCCGUCAGGAUUAUUCUUAUCGUGGUGUGGGAGAAAAUGCAAUCGCCGCCGGGGAGCGGGAGGAUUGCGAGCAGCAGCCGAGGGCAGGGCGACCGCGGUGGCUCCGCUCCCGCGUGCCUCGGCUCGGCGAAGGGACGCGGGGUCCCUGCAUGGCACGGGGCUGGAGCGCGGUGCCCAGCGUGGGGACCACGGGGGUGGGGGAUGCUGCGUGUCGGGGAGGCCGGAGGGGAAGCGGGCAGGGCAGCGGGGCCGGAGGGCCGUGCCAAGCCGGAAGGAAGGAGGGAAGGGGAAGGAAGGGGCUGGGGAGCCACGCUCCGGCGUCCCCGCUCCGUGCGGCGGGGGCUGCUCCGUCGUGCAAACGCGGGGGCGGAGGCGGCGUUUUUUUGGGGAGCGGGGCCCAUUCCUGGGGCUCCCCAAGGUGCCACCGCUGCCGGCCAAGGCCAGCACGGUGCGGGCAGAGCUCGCCAGCCCCGGCUGCAACAGGCUCCCCACCGCCAGCACGGACGGGGGCACCGUGCGGGUGGUGGCGGUGGCUCCGGAGCCGGUGUCAUGGCCAGGCUAGGGACAGCGAGGGCUGGCAGCGCCUGGGGACUGGGGGUGCUUGGGGACCGGGGGCACCUGGGGCGUACGCAGCCAGGGAUAGCUCUGGAGAGGGGACGUUGGGGCUGGGGGUGUC